rnacentral:rRNA from 1 species
GCGAAGGCACCUGAUCUGGCUCAGACUCCUUCUUAGGCUUGGAUUCCCGGGACUGGUUGGAAAGAGGAGUGGAGGACGGGUGAGUAACACGUGGGUGACCUACCCAUCGAGGGGGAUAACACUUGGAAACAGGUGCUAAUACCGCAUAACAGUUUAUGCCGCAUGGCAUAAGAGUGAAAGGCGCUUUCGGGUGUCGCUGAUGGAUGGACCCGCGGUGCAUUAGCUAGUUGGUGAGGUAACGGCUCACCAAGGCCACGAUGCAUAGCCGACCUGAUAGGGUGAUCGGCCACACUGGGACUGAGACACGGCCCAGACUCCUACGGGAGGCAGCAGUAGGGAAUCUUCGGCAAUGGACGAAAGUCUGACCGAGCAACGCCUCGUGAGUGAAGAAUGUUUUCGGAUCGUAAAACUCUGUUGUUAGAGAAGAACAAGGACGUUAGUAACUGAACGUCCCCUGACGGUAUCUAACCAGAAAGCCACGGCUAACUACGUGCCAGCAGCCGCGGUAAUACGUACGUGGCAAGCGUUGUCCGGAUUUAUUGGGCGUAAAGCGAGCGCAGGCGGUUUCUUAAGUCUGAUGUGAAAGCCCCCGGCUCAGCCGGGGAGGGUCAUUGGAAACUGGGAGACUUGAGUGCAUGAAGAGGAGAGUGUGAAUUCCAUGUGUAGCGGUGAACUGCUGUACGAUAUGUGGACGCAACACCAGUGGACGAAACGCCGGCUCUCUGGAUCUGUAACUGACGCUGAUGCUCGAAAGCGUGUGGAGCAAACAGGAUUAGAUACACUGGUAGUCCACGUUCGUAGACGAUGAGCUGCUAAGUUGCUUGGAUGGAUUUCCGCACGUUCAUGCUGCAGCGAACGCAGUUAAGCACGUUCGCACAUGUGCGAGUACGAUCGGCAAGGAUGCAACCUCAAACGAAGUUGAACUGGGACUCGCAUCAAGCGGGUGCAGCAUGUAGCCUACUCGGAAGUCGACAGGUAGACUAUCUAGGAUCAUUGGACAGAUC